rnacentral:lncRNA from 1 species
GGCUACGCCAUCUUCGUGGUGUUGAUGGUGUGCACCUUCGUGUCGUCGUUCGCCUGGUCGUGGGGGCCGCUGGGGUGGCUCAUCCCCAGCGAGACGUUCCCGCUGGAAACACGGUCGGCCGGGCAAAGCGUGACGGUGUGCGUCAACCUUCUCUUCACCUUCGUCAUCGCGCAGGCCUUCCUCUCCAUGCUGUGCCACCUCAAGUACGGCAUCUUCGCCUUCUUCUCCGCGUGGGUGGUGGUGAUGUCGGUGUUCGUCCUCUUCUUCCUCCCCGAGACCAAGAACGUGCCCAUCGAGGAGAUGGCGG